GAGGGUAUAGUUCAGACGGUUAGAACGCCAGGUUGUGGCCCUGGAGGUCAUGGGUUCAAGUCCCAUUACCCUCC
rnacentral:tRNA from 1 species